UUUUCCCUGUUCUUCUUGCCCGCUGCAUUCCUUCUCUGAUUCUUCCCCAAAUUCCCCACGAGCUAUCCCAAUCUCAGCUGCUUCCAUCCAGGAACGCAGCAUGGACCCGGCCAUUCCGGCGCAAGCAUGUACGUGGCGGGAACUCCAUCCGGCUCGCCACCACGGCGAGCGCGACGUCAGGAUAACGGCAUCUCAGCUACCUAGUACCACCUGCUGCCAACGCCAUUACGCCAACGUUGAUGAUGCCACGUGGCGGGUGAUGAGGACGCCGAAACGAACAGCGAUGAUCGAACGACUGAUUCGCUCCUAUCCUUGCACGCGCAAGCAGGCAAGUCACGUGCUCAGGUUUCUUGCUUUGUUUCUCCCCCUGUGUGUGACCCUGUCCAAUGCACUAUACUAGUUGGUAGAUAGGGCCGCAGGGGAUUCAUGGAAAGCAUAAAUACAUCUAGCCAUGUAAGCAUUCGCCAGUACAAACGUGAUUUCUGCUGACGGAUGGGAUCCGCAAGCACAAAUACAUGUUAUUUGUCCGGGUGGUGACAAUCCUAGCCGCCAGCAUUAAAAAAGAGAGGUGUCAGUAUAAUUGUUUUUGGCCUAGUGAUUUAUUCUUUUGUGGAACACAC
rnacentral:lncRNA from 1 species